rnacentral:miRNA from 1 species
GUAGGUUCAUGAGUAGUCAUAU